CUCAAUCUCUCUUUCUACCUCAACCUCUUCUUACUAUGUGCCCCACCACCCACCACACACUUUUUUAAAAACAACCUCAAAAACACAAAAUCAAGAACUUGAAGAAACUGAAACAUAUCUUAUGUCUUCCAAUCCAAUAUAAUCACAUGUGGCACCAACAUAAUGAACAACUUCAUCUCUGAUUCUGUUUCCUCUCUCUGAACAAAAAAGUAGUAACUUGAAUGAAUGGAACUCUCUUUAACACUAACUCCAAAUCCAUCAACUUCAUCUCUUAUUCUUCCACCUGCACUCUCCAACUAUCCCAAGCUAUGUGCUUUAUACCCAAACAAGAAGAAGAGGUUCCAUUCAAGACACUUACUUCAUUGUGUUAAGGCCUCUGCUGAGAGAACCGGUAAAGCCAUAGAUGAUGGAGAGACUCGAACCGGGUUCACCGCACCUACCAUGGAAGUUACCACACUCAAUCGUAUCACCUUAAAUGAUGCUGACUUUCCCGUUUGGGAAAAGAUUGGUGCUGUUGUUAGACUCAGCUAUGGCAUCGGGAUAUAUGGUGCCAUGGCUGUUGCGGGGAGUUUUAUAUGCUCGAUCACAGGAAUCGACUCUCUUGGGGGUUUUCAUCUAUCAUUAGAUGCCAUUGUUGAAGGGCUUGGAUAUUCAGUUCCUCCAAUUAUGGCCCUUCUCUUUAUACUUGAUGAUGAAGUUGUGAAGCAAUCACCUCAUGCCCGUGCUAUUAGAGAUGUAGAGGAUGAAGAACUCUGGAGCUUUUUCUAUGGGAUGUCUCCUUGGCAGUUUAUACUGAUGGUUGCCGCAAGUUCAGUGGGAGAGGAGCUUUUCUACAGGGCUGCAGUUCAGGGGGCAUUGGCUAACAUAUUUUUACGAGGCAGUAAUCUUAUAACGAAUGCUCAAGGAAUGGCAUCAUUGGUAUGUCUAUGUCUACCAUUUUGAAGUUUUCACUUGUAUGUUAUAAGCGUGACUCUUGGUCCAAUGUUAAGGUUAUUUAUUCCCUUGUGAUGUGGUGGUAAUGGGAUAAGGUUGUGUUCAUCUAUCUGACCCUCCGAGCCUUGCUCGGUUGGAGCCGCGUGUGUUGUUUCAACCUUGCUUAUAUUAUAAGUAUGCAAAACUAAGGUUUCGUUUCCGUAACUAACUUCGAUUUAUAUGGUAAAAUGUAGACAGGGGUACUACCCACAUUUGUUCCAUUUGCUCAAGCAUUUGCAGCAGUACUUACAGCUGUGCUGACUGGUUCUCUCUAUUAUGUGGCUGCAUCUCCAAAAGGUUACUUCUUUUAUUGCCCUUUUUACAUUUUCUCUUUUCUACUAGUCUUUCCUACUUUGUUCUGAGCUUAACUUAUGAUCACCUAUUCUCUCUUUCAGAUCCUACUUAUGUUGUUGCUCCGGUUUUACACUCUCGCGCCGGUCGUCAAGAUUUGAAAAAGUUGUUUGAAGGUUCAAUUUGUUUUCCCUAUAGCUUAGUUAAUAUUACAGAAUCAGUUUAUACAUAUCUUUCAUUUUAGUUAUGAACUUAUAAUUCUUCAUAGACUGAAUUAUAUUAUUCAUACAGUGAUGCAAAUGCUUACCCUUGUUUUUAUUCUUGUUAUCAUGAACAUAUUUUUUUGGUUUUGCAGCAUGGUACGAGAAAAGGCAAAUGAAAAAAAAUCUAUUCCCCACUUCUAGAAGGACUACUAGCCCUCUACCUAGGCUUCGAAUGGAUCCAAACAAAUAAUA
rnacentral:lncRNA from 1 species